rnacentral:rRNA from 1 species
CAGCAGUGGGGAAUAUUGGACAAUGGGGGCAACCCUGAUCCAGCCAUGCCGCGUGAGUGAUGACGGCCUUAGGGUUGUAAAGCUCUUUCAGCAGUGAAGAUAAUGACAUUAACUGCAGAAGAAGCCCCGGCUAACUUCGUGCCAGCAGCCGCGGUAAUACGAAGGGGGCUAGCGUUGUUCGGAAUCACUGGGCGUAAAGCGUACGUAGGCGGACUGAUCAGUCAGGGGUGAAAUCCCGGGGCUCAACCCCGGAACUGCCUUUGAUACUGUCAGUCUUGAGAUCGAGAGAGGUGAGUGGAACUCCGAGUGUAGAGGUGAAAUUCGUAGAUAUUCGGAAGAACACCAGUGGCGAAGGCGGCUCACUGGCUCGAUACUGACGCUGAGGUACGAAAGCGUGGGGAGCAAACAGGAUUAGA